rnacentral:lncRNA from 10 species
GCCAGCUUGGAUUUUCUCCUGCUCACCCAGCUGUCCCCAGGAACCCCUUGUGUGAGUAAUUAACUUUUUAAAAGUGUAGAAUAUUAUGGAAAACCUAUUUUUUUUGCAAAUAAACAAAGAUCUGUGGCAACUUCAAAAAUGAAGGAAACAAGCACCUCCGUUGGAACUGUUCAACUUUCAACUUAAUUGGAGAGCUAAAAGUGGCCCUCAUUGAGUUACCCUGUGAGGAACUGAUACAAAAUGCUGAUCUGGCUGCUGUCAAGAGGAUGAAAUAGAUAAAGCAAGACAUAGACAAGUUCAGAGGUACUCGGUGUGCAGUGGUGAACAGAAUAGCUGUAUUGUCUGUACUCACGAGUAAUAGGAUUCUAGGAAAAAAUUCACGGCAUGCUCAGAUUUGAAAAAAAUAAAGAAUGCUGAGAAAAUAGAUUGGGUGAGAGAGUACACAAGAGGAAUCUGGAAUUGCAACAGAUGAAGAUGGCCUGGAUGCAGAUUUACAUUACAAUGUCUGAAUUCCUGGGAACUGUCAUAUUGUUCACCAUAGGGUGAGUGCAUAAUCAAAUGUCAGUGUUCACAGGUGACACAAAAGGCAGGAGGACAAUUUUACUAGGUUGGUGAGAGAAACUAAUGAGUUUCUCUGGGAGGCAAGUAUAGUGAAGUUUUACAAGGAGACCAGGAAAAAUGUUCACACUUAUUUUUCUAGGAUCAUGUGCUCUUAAUUAUUAACUGUAAACUUGAAACAUGUUUAGGAUUAUUAAAAAUUUUUUGUUUGUUUUUUUAAAUGUAAUGACAGAAUAGUGGUUGAUUGUGAUUAAAAAGAUCAAAUAAACAUUCUCUUUUUUUUUAAUGGUAUUAGACUUAUGUAGCCCAAUUUCUUUUAAGCACUCAGCUAGUAGGUUAACACCAGUUGGCAUGAUUGGUAUUUUGGGUAGUUACGUUGAAUUCAUCUUGGGAAAAUUUGCAAAAUAUAUUUUAUUGGCAUUUUUAUAUACUUUAUUAUUAUAGUUCUUAGUAGUACACGUUAAGGGAGACUUGAAGAAAUCUGCCAAAUUGCUAUUAAGUAGUUAAUAGUAUUGAAAUGCUAUUAAGUAUUAAUAGUAAGGAUAAAAGACAUAUCAAUCUGAUAUGAAAAUUCAUAAAAUAGCAGAUCCAAAUGGCCAAAUACACAUAAAACACGCUCAAACACAAUACUAUGGAAAUUUAAAAUAAAUGAACACUAAUUUUUUAAUCUAAUUUAAUUGGCAAAAAACAAGCCAUAAUAUAGAAAAACGAUGCUUUUAUUUACUGUUAAUGGAAAUAAGUUUACAUCCUUUUUGGACACAAUUUGAUGAUUACAAUGAAAAGACAUAUGGCUGUAAGUAACAGAAGUCUAAUACGGCAGUGGUAAAAUAAAACGCAGUCAUGCUUCACUUAAUGAUGAGGACAUGUUCUGAGAAAUGCAUCAUUAGGUGAUUUCUUUGUUGUGUGAAUAUCACACAGUGUACUUACACAAACCUAGAUGGUAUAGCCUACUAUGCACCUAGACUAUGUGGUGGCUCCUAGGCUAAAAUCCUGCACAGUAUAUUAUUGUACUUAAUACUGUAGUCAAUUGUAACACAAUGGUAUUUGUGUAUCUAAACAUAUCUAACCAUAAAGAAGGCAUAAUGAAAAUAUGGUAUAAAAGAUAAGAAAUGGUGCACCUGCAUAGGACACUUAACCAUGAAUGGAGCUGGCAGUACUGGAAGAUUGUCUGGGUUAAGUCAGUGAGUGAGUGGUCAGUGAAUAUGAAGACUUAGGACAUUAUGGUACACUAUCAUAGAUUUUAUGAACACAGUACACU